UUUGGAAUUGUUCAAAGUCCCCCCUUUUGUUUGUGUGAUUUCCCCUCCUCGCUGCUGCUUUUCCGCUUCAGCUGAGGAAAGGGACCAGUCAUGAGCCAUUUAACCAUGGGAAAAGCAGGAAGGCCCCUCUAAACUGGUAUUUCUCAACCAAUCUAGGUAGUGUAUUCGAAUUGCAGAGUAACAAAUGGACAGUGGAAGGGGUUUGUAAUGGUGAUUAGAGUCUGAAAUUGGUUCAGAUUUACAGUGUCAGUCAGAGAUGGAGCGAGAGGAAUAAGCAGUCUAAGCGGUCUAAUGGAUCCAUCAGCUUGCUUCGGCUGCUCAGUGGGCCGAGUGGGGUCACCAGCCAUCCGCAGGCUCCACAAAAGCACUUCAAUUUUGUUAGGAAAUGUAUCAAUUUAACUGACUCGAGCGGCACACUGAAAACCUAAUGAAUCUGGACUCAAUUUUCCAGCACACUGCCUCUAUGAACCGGAGGAAACAAUGUCGGCGGUGAAGGGGUGAAGCCGGGCCGCUGCCAUUGGCUGUAUCCGACUUUCCGGCCCUCGCUGCAACCAGUCCGGGAAACAGGGGCCGGCCUCCGUUUAUCCAGCGACAGUGGAUGCGCCGACUGCUGUCACUCAUCUAACAAUCACGUCAUUAAAGAGUGACUUUUCCUGGGACUGAUGUGUUGGAGAGGACCUCCCUGGUAAUAUGCAGCAGAGGAUAACAUAAAUAAGGUAAUGUGGCAGUCAGAUUAUCCAACCUACCGUUGAAUUAUGCGCAAGGAUAAAUCUGUUUGUGGUGUUUUUCUAGAGUCUUCCCGAGUCAAACUCCUUUUUUUCUAAAGCCUGGGUUCUUCAUUGAAAGGAGAGUGAUGAAUGUAAGGCCUGAAAUGUUUCUUUCUCCUUUUCUUUCUCAUGCUGUCAAUAUCUUGUUGGGAUGGAGAGAACCGGGCCCGUCCUCAUAGCAGCUGAUGGAUCCGCUCACACCUCCAGGAGAAUUGUCUCAUUUAGAUGUUUCUUCUUUGGGUUGGUGCCUUUGGGAGGUGGAUGUGGAACAAUAACAGCUUCAGCGGAAAGGAUUUUCUCGCUCUAGGAUAACUCCUCUGUGCCAAAUUCUUGUUUGACUGUUGAUUCCCAUUGAUCCUAAAUGGAAAUUUUCAAAGAAAUGGAAUUCUUAUUCAAGAAUAAAAACCUGAAAAACAGAAGUUGAAAAACUAAAGUUCUGCUGAUUGAUUGAAUGUUUCAUGAACAAACCGCACAGGCAGAAAAGCCACUUUCCACUUCCCAUCAGCCAUACUUGUGUUUGACAGAUUCUGAUUUUGGAGGAAAGCGGUAAAUCCGGCUAUCUUCACUAAAUAUUAUAUUUAAGUGAAGCAAAAGUGGGCUGCUGGCAAAUCUGUUUGGCUGCUGAAGAAAUUCCACUGGAGCUCUGAUCUUUGAAAAAUGUAUAUUUUCCUCACUUGGCAUUUCCUGGGACAUUUUCAGUGAUAUUGUUUUCAGAGUAUGUUAUAUUCUGAUCAUUUUUUAAGAGUAAAAAGUGUGUUUUUAUGUGUGUGUAAACCAGAUGCUACAUCUCUCACAUUAGCAUCUCUUGAAUUUUGUCUUUUGCAUAUUUAUUUUUUUCUGGAAGAAGAAGAAAAAAGUCUGUUCUUCCUCAUUUUUCUCAUCAUCUGUUACCUUGAACCGAUGUUUCUGCCUCCUCUCCUGUCAGUCUUAAUCACAGCCACCGGUUAUCACAUAGUACACCAAGCCUUUUAGCCUGAGGUUUUCUGUCAGUGUCACUUUCAUUUCUUGGAGGGGAGCUGCUCCCACAUCCUGGAUGCAACUACAUGUGAAUGUUGUUUAAGGUGCUGCAUUGUCAUCUGAAAUGUUCUGGAUCUCAUCAUUACAUAUGUUUUGUAAGAAAAGAAUUCAUAACACCACUAGCAAGAUGUCAGGUUUUUUUGUGUGUGUGUUUGCUGUUUUAGACAUUAAUUAAACAGGAAAAUCUCUAUUUGUUUGCUAAAAUUUCAAACUAUUACUUGACUUAAACAUGCUUGAAUCCUUAAAUAAACUGCUUUCUGUUAGUAUUCAUGAGAAUACUUGUCCCAGUCAAAGGUAAUGAAACGGAUCAUCAUUUGGCCUCAAAAAUCAAUCUUUCCACUAAACAGGUCAUCCAAGUUUGGAAAGUGGUCCUUCAAAAAGUCACUCAGUAACAAAUCUAGGAAAUUUGGUUGUAAUUUUUGUUUGAUUUCAUCACAUGUUUUCUCAUGUUUGCAAGUUUUUUUGUUUACAUGCUUCCCGUGUUUACCCCAGGUUUCCUUUUUUAGCCGCUUUGUUUCAGUUAAUCAUUCUGUUUAGGGGUUUGGUUUGCUGCUUGUCAUUGUCAGAUAAUCCUGUCUUCACUCUUCUGUUAAAAACGCGGUGCAGGUUUGUAUCUUCAGGUGUUUAAGUUUAAAUAUUUAAUGAGAUUUCUCUCCACAGGUCUGUCUCCUGCUCAAAAACCACCAAUCCUGACAAAACAUUUGUCCCUGUUGUCUUAGAUCAUAACCUGAAAACCUUGAAAAUGCCAGGAUUUAAAGCUUGAAAACUUUGCAAACAGCCUCCUCCAUGAAAAAGGUUGUCAUAUUUGCCAGGGCGCAACCACAGAAGCAGUAACUGAGACUAAUUUAGGAUUCUUCCUGCAUUUGUUUUAAUCCAGUCGUCAUCAUUUACGUGGCUGGAGGUCUGAUAUAAGUUAUUUUAUCUAUAUAAUUGCUAGAAAUUUACAUUUUUCUAUGAUAAAUCAGAAACUUGUCUGACAGAAGGACCCCAAGUCUGAUGGAUCUCUGUUGAAAAGUCAAAAUGUUACCCUUAAUGUUGUGCAACAGAGUUGUUUUGACACGAUCAGACACUUAAAGGAAAUGCGAUGAAGCCUCUUCACCUCUGCCUCUUAGUUUUGUCACAGGCUGCAGCAGCUUCAAAACUCUGGUGACAAACAUCAGCAGCAGGCAGGUUAGUGUGUGAGAUUAUCCCAUGAAAAUCUUCUUUUUACUUCUACAUUCGGGGCGUCCCAAUUUAACCCGAACAGGUAAAAAGUGAUUUUCAUACAAAUCCGAAGAAAUGACACCAAAAAUCGAUCAUAAAUAGUUGGAAAUCAGGGCAGAAUAGCAUAAUUUAAUAGUGUGAAUCAUGUGUCAUGAUACUUUUUUUGUAUCCUGUUAAAACUCUCCAGCAUAGACAGAGUUUUGGGAGGAUAUAGAGAUAUUCUCUGCUUUCCCAACAUUUUGGUUUUAAUCAGAAAUCUUAUAUUGAUUUUUGUGUGACAAACAGCAUCAAGGGAGAUUUUUAGGAGCCUUAAUCUCUCACCUCUGAUAUUUUAAUAUAUGAUGAGAAAAGAAAUGAAGGUUGAAGUCAUUUUUACUGACAAUUACAAGAAAAAAACAAAGUCAAAGUGAAUUAAAGAAAUUUCAGGGGGUUGUUAGGUUGAGCACACUUAAAAUAUUAAAAUAUUUGUUUUCUUACUUUUUGUGUUACGUUUUUUUAUUAAAGCACAUAUUGGAUAUUAUUUGUUUUUUGUGAAUUAUUAUCU